rnacentral:lncRNA from 1 species
AAUCAAUAACAUUCUUGUUUAUUUAUUGAAGGAAUGCUACUCAAUCAAAACAUGACUACGUGACAACCUCUAGGCCGAGUCACAACAAAGCGACAAGAGAUUCCUGCAGUAAUUGUACAAAUCCCCCCCAAAAUGUAUUUAUUUUAGUGUUAAGGGCUCCAGUUAAGUGUUAAGGUUACUCUCCAUGGUAACUAGUGUAGGAAAGCUAACUGAGAAUGUCCUGGUGAAAUACAUAACAGUCCAAAUGCUUUUAACCUUUAUGUAUUUGAUCAUUUCUGCCGCUGCUAGCCUGGCCUAGUCUAUUCGUCUUUAUGUACUGGAAUCUAAAUGACCCCUGUUCACUUCCCACUGCCUGUGAGACACGGAGAUAACUAAUGGCUCAACCUGCACCGGCCUCACCGCGUUGCCAAGCAAUGUGCACCUGCCCCGGUUGACCUGCCUCAGCCCGCUACACGAGUGCUACACCGAAGCUAGUGUCUGUGUGCAUCCAGACACUGGAGCAGUCGUUACCUCGGGUCUAACAGGGCAUUUCGCUCCCAUGGGAAACCGCAGGGUUGUACGACUCCGCUCCGUUCAUUACGCGCUAAAGGCCAAGGAAAUUUGGUAUAACUUUGGGAGAUGUCAGAAAGUUCCUCAGGUG